GACUCCAUGGCCCAAUGGAUAAGGUGCUGGUCUAAGAAACCAGAGAUUUUAGGUUCGAUCCCCAGUGGAGUCG
rnacentral:tRNA from 1 species